rnacentral:rRNA from 1 species
UACGUAGGGUGCAAGCGUUGUCCGGAAUUAUUGGGCGUAAAGAGCUCGUAGGCGGUUUGUCGCGUCUGCUGUGAAAACCCGAGGCUCAACCUCGGGCCUGCAGUGGGUACGGGCAGACUAGAGUGCGGUAGGGGAGAUUGGAAUUCCUGGUGUAGCGGUGGAAUGCGCAGAUAUCAGGAGGAACACCGAUGGCGAAGGCGGCUCUCUAGUACGGUACUGACGCUGAGACGCGAAAGCGUGGGGAGCGAACAGG